rnacentral:tRNA from 1 species
CCGAUAUAGCUCAGUUGGCCAGAGCACGUGAUUUGUAAUCUCGGGGUCGUGGGUUCAAAUCCCUCUAUCGG